GCGUUGUUCGGAUUUACUGGGCGUAAAGGGCGCGUAGGCGGCCACCGCAAGUCGGUUGUGAAAUCUCUGGGCUUAACCCAGAAAGGUCAACCGAUACUGCGGGGCUAGAGUGCAGAAGGGGCAACUGGAAUUCUCGGUGUAGCGGUGAAAUGCGUAGAUAUCGAGAGGAACACCUGCGGCGAAGGCGGGUUGCUGGGCUGACACUGACGCUGAAGCGCGAAAGCUAGGGGAGCGAACGGG
rnacentral:rRNA from 1 species